rnacentral:rRNA from 1 species
AUGGCCGGGAAAGGGCCGGUGGUUCCCAAGUUCGGGUCGUGGGACGCCGAGAACAUCGGCUACACCGUCUUCUUCGAGAAGGUGCGCGAGAACAAGGCCGCGCCCGUGCCGGGCACGGCGGCGCCCCCGGCUGCGCCAGCGCCCAGGGGGCACGACGACCAAGAGUUCGACCCCUACGAGUACUACGAGAACCUCAGCCGGAACGUGCCCUCGCGCGCGCCCAGCUCGCACGGGCACCAGGCGCCGGCGCAGCACUACGACCACCUCGGCGGUAACGUGCCAUCGCGCCCGCCAAGCUCGCACGGCCACGGCCACCCGUCACCGGCGCAGCACUACCCCGCGCAGCACGGCCACCCGUCACCGGCGCAGCACUACCCCGCGCAGCACGGCCACGGGGGCUACCACCGGCGGAACGGGAGCAACGGCAGCAGCGCCGCGUCCGAGGUCAGCAGCCGCGCCAGCAAGUUCUCGCCGCCCAGGCCGUACCAGCCGCGGUACGGCAACAGCGGCGGCAGCUACUACCAGCCGCAGCAGCAGCAGCAGGUCGCCGGCGCGUACGCCGCCCCGGUGCCGAGGCACCACCAGCAAGCGGCGCCGGCGCCGAGGGUCGCCGCGUCCCCGCCGCGGCAGGCCCCCCCGCCGGUGAACGAGCGGCGCCCGGGGCAGGGCGCACCGCAGGCCCGUGCCGCCAAGGCCCCGUCGGCCGUGCCCAAGUUCGGCGUGUGGGACGAGCAGAACGCGAACGCGGCGGCGCAGGGUUUCACGGUGCAGUUCGAGAAGGUGAAGCGGCACCGGGAGGUCGCCAAGGCCGCCGCGCCGGACGUGCCGCCGGUCGCGAAGCGGCAGCUCUCGCCGGAUCGGGUGGUGCCCACGUGGGGCCACCCGCGGAGGAAGCCCAAGAAAUCCUUCCUGUCCAAGGUCUACGGGUGCCUGUUCCCAGUGGUCAGACAGUGA